rnacentral:lncRNA from 1 species
AUGAUUUCUUACAGAGCUCCCAGUUUCCAAACUCUGAACUUUCACGAGUACUGCCUGGAUGUCAGAGCCCUUUCGUCAGAAACACCAGAGCCUUCUGGAGUGAUGGUCCCACUACUACAAAAUCCCUUUGGAAAGCCACAACUCUUAAACCAUCACUGGCCACUCACAGGCCCUGCCUUGGAGGAUUUACAGAUUGGAGACCUGAAACCCCUCGUGGCAGAACCAGUGGGGCUGAAGAAGUGCGGAUGUGUUGGUGCAGGGGGUCUGUGGCUCCGCAGCAGUAACUGGCAGCACUCCGAACUGGAUCUCAAGCCAAGGCCAGCGACUCAGGCCCAGCUCACAGGCACACAGCUCUGUGUGGAAAGGCUGAGGAAUGAAAGACCAGUGCGCGAAAACACAGUGUGUGAGAGAUUUCUGCCACAGCGGUUGUGCCUAUCAGGCGUCCUACCGAGGUUACUGAGUUACUAAUCUAAAAGACAUCUAGAAUUUCCCUUGCUGCUCUCAGCAGAUUGCUUCACCUCGUACUCCUUUCUGCCACCAUGCGUGGUCGUCUCUGAAGUCUCUGCACAAGGGCCAUUCACUGUCCUCUGCUCCACCAGGAGUGCUUCCCUCUGAUUUCAGGUUCACCCCUCUCCUUAAAUCUGACCUUCAGACUGUCUUUUUCAUUGCAGGGCUUAGUAAGGUUUACUACAGCACGGGCCAGCGCUGCCCCUGCUGAAGCAGGAGGUUGCAAACAGGUGGCACUUAGCGCUACACAAGGAAAAUACAGGCCUCAACUUGCAGAUAAACCCUUAAAGGUCAGAAAUAACAAAACAGCUCAGCCACGCAGCACUAGCGUCCAGUUUUUAGCUCCAAAGCUGACACAGAAAUAUGUGGCCAGGUUUUCAAAAGAACUCAACAGCUUGAGGGCUUUGUUGAACGUCUGCCUGCAAGCACAUCGGUAGGAACUGCAGGGUUCAGUUUGGAAAAUCUGGUCUGGGCUCGGGGUACUCAAAGAAACUGGCCAAGAGCUCCUCUGCAAAUAUCCUAAAUGACCAAAGGAGAAAUAGCAACAGACAAGGUGACCUCACAAAAGCAGAAAGCGCUAGCUGCAAUUAAAAACAACAAGAUUGUGUCCUGAAUUCACACUAGGCUUUAGUUUUCACCAACCCCCCAAAAAUAAAAGUUCCUAGAUGGUCUGAAAGUUCA